rnacentral:lncRNA from 1 species
AAAUUUAAGCCCUUGUUUGGUUGGGAGUUAAGGGGUAAAAUAACCUCUUAACCUCUAUUUUAUCCCCAAAUAUUCUAAAAAAUGGGUGGGGUUAGCUACCUCAAAUAAAUUAUCCUGAGUUAGCUAAUCCCACCUAACCCAACCAAACUCCAACCAAAUACAAUUUUCUAUUCAUAAUAACCCAUUAUCUUUCUUAUCACACCUACUCCAACCAAUCAUUAUCCUUCUUUAUCAAUCAUUAUCUUUUUAUCCCACCUAUUUCAACCAAACACUAUUUUUCAUUAUUCUAAACUAACUCCAACCCCCAACCAAAUACAAAAAAAUUUUAACCCCACUUUAACCCUGAACUUAACUCUAUCCCUGGAAUAGCUACUUUUUCCUUAACCCCGAACCAAACGGAGGCUAAAGGUCCAAAAAUUCCAUACAAAGCUCCUCAUAUAAAAAUGCAUGAGGAGCUGCAUAUCAAUUUCCUUCAUCUAAAUAUUAAUUUUAAUAAAUCAUCAAACAACAUAUCCUUUCUCUAAUUUGAAAUUUACUUUCUAAAUGAAAAUA